GUUUUACAAUAAUCGAGCAGAUCACGUGACAAUAUUGCAAGGUUGCCGCCAUUUUACACUGUUUACGUCCUGGACAAAGAAAGAUGGCGUUUUGGGCUUUGUUUCAAGUAGUAAAUAGAUGUCUAUGUGAGGCGUGGACAGAAUGUUGUUAAUUGGUGGCUUUGUUCAAGUUACAUAUUCUGACAAAGAUGGUAAAGCAGUGGCAGACAGAGUUGUGUGACAUUGUGUAUGUUUCGUUUGUUAGAGCCCAUGCACAGACAGAAGAAAAGCUAAGUUGCCACUUUUGCAGCCAGUUGAACACAAGAAUCCACUUCAUAUGCAAAUCUACAAAUUCCACAUCAUCCAAGAGUAGACAACAUUCCAUGUAUUCCAGUUAAGCAUGUGGAAGUCUCUCUGGCUGAUGCGGUUAAACUUGAACAGAACACCAAAGACUAGGGUAACAUAAUCUAAUAUGGCACCAGGAAAGAGCCAAAGGAUAACUGCAUCACUUCUUGGAUGCUUUAUAAUAAGACAGGCUCCUAUAAGAAAGAAAUUGGUCAAUAGCAUUCUUACCCCAAACUAUUUACAAGUGCCAAAAUAAGUUAUUGAAAUUACUGUGAAAAGGUGGAUGCAAUACGUAUAGAAAAAAGACAAACAAUAGCAUCAAUGUGCAUGGCUUUGUUGUAAACCAAGACUUUCCAUAUAUUGUGGCAUCACCAGACAGUAAAACUUGUGACAAUUCCUUCGUUUGAAUUCUUGAAAUUUAGUGUCCAUUCUAAGAGACUAACAGACUCAACAUCAGAAGGCAUAAGUAAAUCCCAAAUACUAUGCUUAGAAAAAGUUGGGGAAAAUGUAAGGAUAGAAGUCACACAUCCGUACUGGUAUCAAAUCCAGGGACAGCUUAGUAAUUAAUAACAGCAGCAGAUUUCUGUGAAUUUGUUCUGUAUACUAGACAGGACAUAUUUAUUCAAAGACAAAGUUACAAUGGAUGGAAUACUAUUAACCCUUACCCUGCUAAAUUUCUAUAAUGAAAUUGUCCAUCUUCAGUUUGGACAACCAUUAACUGUUAAAAGGGGUGUUGACUAAAGAGAUACUGACUGAAUGGCGAACAAUGCAAAUCUUGAUCAAACUGCAUGGAUGUGCAGGCUGAUCAUGAUCUACACUGGUCACAAAGGCAGAAUUAAUCAAGUCCAGCAUAAUAAGGGUUAAAAUGAGUGGUCUACAGUAAUUUUGUUAGCUCACCUGAGCAAUGCUCAGGUGAGUUUUUCUGAUCGCUCGAUGUCCGGCGUCCGUCGUCCGUCGUCUGUCGUCCGUCAACAUUUAGCUUGUGUAUGCGAUAGAGGCUGUAUUUUUCAAUUAAUCUUCAUGAAUAUUGGUCAGAAUGAUAACCUUGAUGAAAUCUAGGCCGAGUUCGAAAAUGGGUCAUCUCGGGUCAAAAACUAGGUCACUAGGUCAAAUCAAAGAAAAACCUUGUGUAUGCGAUAGAGGCUGUAUUUUUCAUUUAAUCUUCAUGAAUAUUGGUCAGAAUGAUAACCUUGAUGAAAUCUAAGCCGAGUUCGAAAAUGGGUCAUCUCGGGUCAAAAACUAGGUCACUAGGUCAAAUCAAAGAAAAACCUUGUGUAUGCGAUAGAGGUGGUAUUUUUCAAUUAAUCUUCAUGAAUAUUGGUCAGAAUGAUAACCUUGAUGAAAUCUAGGCCGAGUUCGAAAAUGGGUCAUCUCGGGUCAAAAACUAGGUCACUAGGUCAAAUCAAAGAAAAACCUUGUGUAUGCGAUAGAGGCUGUAUUUUUCAAUUUUUCUUCAUGAAUAUUGGUCAGAAUGAUAACCUUGAUGAAAUCUAGGCCGAGUUCGAAAAUGGGUCAUCUCGGGUCAAAAACUAGGUCACUAGGUCAAAUCAAAGAAAAACCUUGUGUAUGCGAUAGAGGUGGUAUUUUUCAAUUGAUCUUCAUGAAUUUUGGUCAGAAUGAUUAUUUUGAUGAAAUCUAGGCCGAGUUCGAAAAUGGGUCAUCUGGGUUCAAAAACUA